rnacentral:sRNA from 1 species
AGACUGUGUCCCUGGAAUCAGAAAGAGGAAAGUAACCUUUCUACCUGCCCACCUUGAAGUUAGAAACUUCUGGAGAGUGGAAGAGGUGCUGGUUGGUACAGAGGUAAGGAGCCCGCAAACUCGAGAGGAGAGGUCACUGGAGGCAAAGGUUUGCUUGUUUUAAAUAGCAUGUCCACUUGGAGCAGUAUGGAGGGGUCCGGGGUAGACUGGGGUCUAUUGGGGUCCAGUUGAAAUGUCCUGGGUGAGAUGGGGAGAAGAGAAAAAGGCGAGAGGUGGACAUUGGGCUUUGUUCAUAGGCUGUGGCAAAUGGCUCUAACAUCCAACUGAGGUGCCUGCAAGAUUGACAGGCACAGCUGCUGACCUCAGGAGAGUCUCCCGGGGACCAGUGUGGUCAUAGAGCAGUUUCGUCUAUCAGGCCUAGCUACAGCCCAACCCCCAUUACCACCCGGAUCUAAACCCAUCUGAAACCAUUGCUACGAAGAUUCUAUUGCUGACUGUGCUCCGACAUGCUCCCACAAAUAAAAUGUACUUCUUGGCACAGGACUGCAUUCCUGAACAUACCUUUUUGGGGUUCAAGCAGCAAGCAUUACAGGGCUUUAAACACUCGAUAAAGUAUAUUCCCAGACAUUUCACAGGUAUCCUAUAUCUAUAUAUGAAGAUAAAACAUUCAUUUUUAUACUCUUUAUUGAAAGGUGCACGGAUAACCACAAGUAAACACAUAAAAUAAUAAGGAUGAAUUUUCACCAACUAAAAAUAUCCAGCUCAUCAGCAGCCAGAUCAAAACAAGAACACUGCCCAUUCUCCAGAAGCCCCUUAAGCACAUUGAAGCUUAACACAGUUUUGAAAUAAGGCUACCAAAAAAAAUACAAUCUUUCUCUGACAUAACAUGAUAGUAAUUUUGCAGUGAGCUGUUAACUUGGGUCUGGUAUUCCACCAUUGGCAGGCUUCCGUUUCCCUUUUGCUCCUAAAAACCAAAUCUUUAAGCAAAACUCCCAACUCUUCCCUCAUGAUCAUUUGCGUCUUUAGGCCCGUCAGCAGAUUCUGUUAAAUGAACUGGCAAAUUGGUGAGGAGCAGAGGAUAUGAAUCUGUAUUAAGCAGCAGUGAGUAGGCAGAGAAGUUGAAUAUCAUGUAGCAAAUAAGUGGGACUGUCCCUCAGUCAUUUGACUCAGGAUUCUAAGCACACACCCCAGGCAGUGCUAGCCUCUUAACAGCUUCCUAUUGGGUGUUGCUUUGUAAAGGGAAGAAGCCAUUGCAGAUGGGAGUGGGUGACCCAGCAUUUCCUGCUACCGAUGACCAAGCAUCGUCUCCUGGAGUCACGUGUCGGUCCUUCAGUGUCCAUGCUCACUCCACCAUGUGUCUAUCAGAGAGAGCAAACACUGGUGUCUUUUCCUGGGCGUGACCUGCAGCCAAGGAAGCCUGCCGAGAGGCAACCCUUAAGGCUUUCCGUUGUGAAUGCAAAGGAGCCUGGAGCUCUUCAUGCUGGGUCCAACAGAGGGUACCUGGCUCUCCAAAACGAUCGCCCACUGGUUUAGACAGUGUUCAGUUCUGCCAGCUCCUGAUUCGGUGAGUGGAGUUUUCCCUAUUUGACAAUAUAAUGCUAUCCUAUCUUUUCGAAGCAGAAAAUUUGACACUCAUUCUGAAGAAGGGCCAUCUUCCCCUUCAAAAUAAAUACCUACCAGCAUUAUCUUUGGGCUGGAUAGUUCUGUUCCCACUUGACACCAGUUAGAAUAAUUUUGGAAGAGGGAAACUUAAUGGAAAAAAAUGCCCCCACCAGAUUGGCCCGUGGGCAAGUCUUUGGUGCGUUUUCUUUAUUGAUGUGAGAGGGCCCUUGUCAUUGUGAGUGGCGACAUCCCUGGGCUGGCAGUCCUAUAAAACUGCAAGCUGAGAAGUCCAAGAGGAGCAGGGAGCACAGCUCUGCGUCAGUUCCUGCCUCCAGGUUCCUGUCUUGAGUUCCUGUCCUGGCUUCCUGGGAUAAUGAAGUAGAAGGCGUAAAAUGAAACGAACCCUUUCCUCCUUGAGUUGCUUUUGACCAUGGCGUUUCAUCACAGAAGUAGAAAUCCUCAGACAAUCUACAGCCACUCUUUAUUCUUUUGCCAUUCAUUUAAACAUUUCCCUUUUCUAUACUCUAAAACCAGAACACGUCUCAAACACACAAAAACGCUUGCGAUUUGCAUCCCAUCACAUCCAAGGGAUGGAAGUGAUUUCUAACGUCUAAGUACUAGAUAUUGUGCCCAACAGGUUUUAAAUAGCAACAAGUUCUCCCAAGAUGCUACUUGGAGACUGCUAAUGCCUACUGUGCUCAAAGGCAAUCCACAAGUGGGCAAAACCAGCCUCCCAGGAACUUGAUCCUCACUCCAGGCACCAGAAUCUACAUUUAACAAGGAUCCUGGUCACAUGAACGCACAGUAAAACCUGCUCCCUCACCUGGCCCUCUUAACACUCUUUUAGAGUACUAAAAGGUCAUUUGCAAAAGUCUGUAGAAGGGAAUAGGAGUUGUGUUUUCUGACAUCAUUUUAUCUGAAUACACAAUUGUUGGGGUUUUCUCUUUCUUUCUCUUGUCUUCCCUUUCCUUUCCCUUUUUGCUUUCCUUUUUCAGACAGAAUCUUACUCUCUGGUCAAGUCAUCUUCCAUUCAUGAUCCUCCUGCCUGUGCUCUCAAGCUCUGGGACACCAGGCAUGCAGCACCAUCACAGCUGUCCCAUUUCUUACAGAAGAUGCAUAACCAAUGCCUCCGCUAAUUCAAGUGGUCAGCCCUGGUGACGUCACUCCCUCUGUUCGCGCUUGCAGCCAUUUAUGCUAACAAUUCUGAUCCUGGAAGAUACUCUGCAUGGUCCCAGAAGAGAAAUAUUCAUCAUUGUCACCCAGCUACAAACCCUGCAGCCUAUGACAGUCACCUGCCUGCAGAUACACUGGAGCAAUAGUGACACAAAUGUUAUGGGAGUCACCAACCACUUUCUGAUUGGAUUUAAGGCCUGAUUGGAUUGGAGAUGGAACCCAUAAUGGACGCUGUUAAAAUGGCUAAGAACCUGAGAGUGGGGAGGUCAUGAGCCUAGGGGAAAAACCUACCACUGUGAUCCUGCUAAAGAAGUGCAGCAGAUUGUGAGUAAGCGUACAAACGAAGACAGUAACUCCAGAAGUGCGGAGAACGAAGUCAAGGGAUGUGCUGAAUGUGGGAAGGUGACACUGGUGAGGAAGGAAUCAGGUUGCCAUCUAUGGAGUAGAGCAUGGCAGUCGUGAAGACAUCAGGGGAGAGACCGCUCCAGCAGCAAAUGCAAGGAUGCUAGGUAGGCACUCAGCAUGUGUGUGGCCAUGAGUUUCCCAGGGAGCAAAAGGUUUUCUAAAAGAUGUCCCUCUGUCCUGCAGCACCAAGUGCCUAACAAGGGCAUCAGCUGCUUAGUCCUAAGACUCUCUCCCAUGAGGAGUCUGUCCACCUUCCUGGGACUGGCACAGUGUAGGGCACCUAUUAGGAACUAAGACUGAGGAAGGAAGGAAUGGGUUCUUGCGAGUAGCUCCCAGCCCAUUCAUGAACCUAAACUCAUGACUAAGCUUGAUUUCUGUGUGGCAGUGUUUACUGGCACAACCUUGUUAUUUUAAUCAACCUGAAGCAUUGGGCUCGUCCAUGGCUUGGGAUAGCCGGUGUAGAACUGGUUUUCGAUUAAUUGGAAAGGCCCUUUUAGCCCCAUGGGACACAUCCAGAAGGGCUAUUAUUUGCAUCAACGUAGUGACCCCUCCCCCUUCCAGUUGCAUGUCUGAAUGAAAGUCUUUCCUUGGUGAUCGUCACCAAGCUCAGUGUUGCGACAAACAUUCCUUGGACCAUUUUUUGUUAAAAAAAAAAAUGGAAUUUACAACAUGGAGUUUACACUUAAGGCUAAGGGCUUGCCAAUGGGCUGACCCCUGGGUCUGACCUCACUUUGGCUUUUAAUUUUGUCUUGGGUAACGUGCCUUCUGUUCGAUGACCAUGAGCCGCAGAGUCUGCGAGUAGACUCUAAAUUUAUGUUAUCCACUAAGCUCGAUCUGUGCUGUAGGUACUUUGAGCAUCCAACACGCACUAAGAAUCAUGAUGUCAGUACCUACGGCGAAGCAGGGAGGACCCGGCAAAAGCAAACAGCUACGCUUCCACAGAACCUAUGGAAGGCCGGUUAAGAAUGCCAAUAUGGACGUGGGGAGGCUUGAGGCUCUCGGAGUGUGGCAUGAUCAUAGCGAUGGGAGAAAGGUCACUCCAGGUUGAAAAAGUCUUCCACUGGGUGUGGA